GACGAACGCUGGCGGCGUGCCUAAUACAUGCAAGUAGAACGCACAGUUUAUACCGUAGCUUGCUACACCAUAAACUGUGAGUUGCGAACGGGUGAGUAACGCGUAGGUAACCUGCCUGGUAGCGGGGGAUAACUAUUGGAAACGAUAGCUAAUACCGCAUAAUAUUGAUUAUUGCAUGAUAAUUGAUUGAAGGAUGCUAUUGCAUCACUACCAGAUGGACCUGCGUUGUAUUAGCUAGUAGGUGAGGUAACGGCUCACCUAGGCGACGAUACAUAUCCGACCUGAGAGGGUGAUCGGCCAAACUGGGACUGAGAAACGGCCCAGACUCCUACGGGAGGCAGCAGUAGGGAAUCUUCGGCAAUGGACGAAAGUCUGAACGAGCAACGCCGCGUGAGUGAAGAAGGUUUUCGGAUCGUAAAGCUCUGUUGUAAGAGAAGAACGGGUGUGAGAGUGGAAAGUUCACACUGUGACGGUAUCUUACCAGAAAGGGACGGCUAACUACGUG
rnacentral:rRNA from 1 species